UUACCCUUGACGCACACGCCUUCUCCGUUUCCCAGCAACGGUUUUCACUUAACAUUCAAUCUGCUCCAUCGUUCCCCAAUGGCCACAUUCUCCCUACGGCUAAACAACUUCAUUCCGACUCACUCCGAAAUGAUCAUCUGAUACUUCCUCCAAAGUAUUCUCCAAAUAAGAACUCCACUUCGAACAAUGCUACUCAAUCUGAAACAAUCCACUUCAAGAACAUCUCUAUUCGUCCUUACUUCUCGCGUUCGAAAC
rnacentral:lncRNA from 1 species